rnacentral:rRNA from 1 species
GACAGAGGGUGCGAACGUUGUUCGGAAUUACUGGGCGUAAAGCGCAUGUAGGCGGCAGCGCAAGUCGGGCGUGAAAUCCCACGGCUCAACCGUGGAAGUGCACUCGAAACUGCGCAGCUAGAGUCCUGGAGAGGAAGGUGGAAUGCUUGGUGUAGAGGUGAAAUUCGUAGAUAUCAAGCGGAACACCGGUGGCGAAGGCGGCCUUACUGGACAG